UACGUAGGGUGCAAGCGUUGUCCGGAAUUAUUGGGCGUAAAGAGCUCGUAGGCGGUCUGUCGCGUCGGCUGUGAAAUCCCGGGGCUCAACCCCGGGCCUGCAGUCGAUACGGGCAGACUAGAGUGCGGUAGGGGAGACUGGAAUUCCUGGUGUAGCGGUGAAAUGCGCAGAUAUCAGGAGGAACACCGGUGGCGAAGGCGGGUCUCUGGGCCGUAACUGACGCUGAGGUGCGAAAGCGUGGGGAGCAAACAGG
rnacentral:rRNA from 1 species